UAGGGCUAGCCUCGAUCCCAGGCCGAGUUUUCGCUUUUAUAACGGUUAGGCGAACAACUGGGCCUGGUACUAGUUGUCUGCGCAUGCGUCAAUCGUUCGUCAGAUUCUGACGAAUGGAUAUUCUCGUUCACUUUCGUGACAUUUAUAUUCGUGUACUAUCGUGUACUAGAAGUCAGUUCCCGUUUUAUCAUUAUUGGAAUCGAUUGGAAUGGCUCUUAGCUGAAGCUUCUCUCUUCUCUGAAGCUUAUUCUGAAGACUGAACAACAAGGGAAGAGGUAUAAAGCUUUGUCAAGCUUGUUAAGGUCAGAUAUUUUUGUGUGGGCCCUAUGGCCGGCUAUGCUAUCAAGUUAAGUCUUGUUCAUGUUUGGCAAGAAUGUAGGUAGACUAUAGUUUCAUCAUUAAUAUGGUGGAUCAAGUGAAGAGUGUGAGCUAGAGAACUUGGUGCUGCCAUCAUCAGCUCGUCGACAAUGACACUAUAACCGAGAAAUUUAAUAUGUAUAGAUCUACACGUAUUUAAAAUGUCUACUUCUCUGUACAGGAGCAAUGGCUAAUAUCCAGCUAUCCCAACAGUGCUCCUCUUGGCUAUACUAACGGACGAGACUGGACAGUUUGAGACACAGGACUGGAGUAUGACCUGUUCAUUCGAGCGUUGCUGGGUAGCUCAGAGACAUCAAGAGAAUCUACGUUUUCUCAAGCAAUGAGUUACGAGUUGGGGCCUAGAAUCAGAGAAGUCCAGCAGCCUACUAAAUCUUUUUGAAACGUAAUUUGAAGGCAUUCAAUCAUCCUGAAGUUGCCCUGGGUCACUGUAAUUGUGCUGCAGCACAACUGGCAACUCCCCAGGCCUUUGUGAAGCAGCUCCCUAUGUGCAUCUUUUGUGUACUCACUCUGUGCAUUUUCUGUGUACAAAUUUCUAUUAUUGAUUUAUUAAAUA